rnacentral:rRNA from 1 species
AUUGAACGCUGGCGGCAUGCCUUACACAUGCAAGUCGAACGGCAGCAUGAUCUAGCUUGCUAGAUUGAUGGCGAGUGGCGAACGGGUGAGUAAUACAUCGGAACGUGCCCUGUAGUGGGGGAUAACUAGUCGAAAGAUUAGCUAAUACCGCAUACGACCUGAGGGUGAAAGUGGGUGACCGCAAGGCCUCAUGCUAUAGGAGCGGCCGAUGUCUGAUUAGCUAGUUGGUGAGGUAAAGGCUCACCAAGGCGACGAUCAGUAGCUGGUCUGAGAGGACGAUCAGCAACACUGGGACUGAGACACGGCCCAGACUCCUACGGGAGGCAGCAGUGGGGAAUUUUGGACAAUGGGCGGAAGCCUGAUCCAGCAAUGCCGCGUGUGUGAAGAAGGCCUUCGGGUUGUAAAGCACUUUUGUCCGGAAAGAAAUGGCUCUGGUUAAUACCUGGGGUCGAUGACGGUACCGGAAGAAUAAGGACCGGCUAACUACGUG